rnacentral:rRNA from 1 species
GACGAACGCUGGCGGCGUGCCUAAUACAUGCAAGUAGGACGCAGUUGCGAACGGGUGAGUAACGCGUAGGUAACUACCUAUUAGAGGGGGAUAACUAUUGGAAACGAUAGCUAAUACCGCAUACUAGUAGAUGGCCCUGCGUUGUAUUAGCUAGUCGGUAGGGUAAUGGCCUACCUAGGCAACGAUACAUAGCCGACGUGAGAGGGUGGUCGGCCAAACUGGGACUGAGACACGGCCCAGACUCCGACGGGAGGGAGCAGUAGGGAAGUUUCGGGAAUGGGGGGAAACCUGACCGAGCAACGCCGCGUGAGUGAAGAAGGUUUUCGGGUCGUAAAGCUCUGUUGUUAAGGAAGCGGUACUUAACCAGAAAGGGACGGCUAACUACGUGCCAGCAGCCGCGGUAAUAC